UUAGGUGUCAAUUUCUGUAAAUUCAUGAGUGAACCCUGCCUCCAUCUACUUGGGAAAACAGUGAUCUUAAAGGGAUGCUCAGUGAGAUUGCUUGCCUUAGCUCUUUUGCUUGGCUUUAGUUUCCAUAUACAAGGUGUACGGCUAACAUGCACAUAUGCAGUCCUCAUAUUUGGGAAGCUGGGGCAGACUUCAUGCUCUCCACCCCAGCCGGAGGUAUAUGAUUUCUACAACCACAGACCCCCUAGUGUUGCUUUUGGGUCCUAUGGCUUUAAAAGAGGGGUGGCAACCAGGUGGAGAUUCUGCACAUACACAGUAGCCAGGAUUAUACCUAUAGGUAUUUCUUUGUCUCUGUGGAUUUUGAAGACACCAUGUAUUAUACAAGUAUGAUCAGGAUUCUUCUGACCAGAAAUGGUUGGCUAAGUCUGAAGUUUUUGUUUUUUUUUUAAUCUUCUAAACAGAGUUGCAUAAAGGUAAGAAAUUUAAAAAUGGGUUCUGGGGUCCAAAAGAUCUGACUUCAGUUCUGACCCUACCAUCGCAAACUACGUGACCUUAGGUCUCAGUGAGGAUUAAAUGUCGUCAUAUAUAUAAAGUAUAUGGCAUGUAGUAGUCUUAACAGAAGGCUGUUAUCAGGAAUAUUCUUUCAUGUAAAGUGUAAACACCUAUUCAAAUACAAACCUGAGAAGGGAGGAAGGAUGGGAUGUACCUAACACUGACAAGGUGGUUUUGCUUUUGGAAGGAGACUGGGAGUCAGUGUGAAGGUGCUUGUCUUUUGGUUAGAUUUGGGAGGCCACACCUAGGUCCAGGCUCUGCAGCAGCUAAGGAAAGACUUCCCCGAACUUUCUAGACUUUACCAAAGGAUACUUAAUGGUGGAAGAGAUGGAGGGAGAGGAAAUAUGUGAGGAUCUAGGGAAGAGCCCUAAGCAAUUGUGCCAAACAUAAAAUUUCACUCUCUGCAACAUAUACACAUUUACUUUUGUAUAAAAAUGAUGCUUUGCCCCUGCCCCCCACAAAUCGUUAUGGUAAAUUGAUAGUCUAGAAAGUUGCACUCUGUGUAUCCUAAAACCUAAAAUGCCCAUGGGUGAGUACAUACGCAGCAGUUUGAGAAACAGGCAUUGAAAGUCGAAAGGAUAAGCCCACAUCCCUUCAUAGGGCCCUUCACAGUCUGAGUGCCAGUUACCUCCUCUGCUCUCUGUCCCUUUCAAAUGCCUCCCCACUUCCCAGACACAGAAGGCCCUUUAGCUGCCUGAGGCCUUUAUUUCGGUGCUUCCAGCCUGCCUGAAGUGAAGGGCCUUCCAUCCAACUCUCCUUUAGGAAUUUGGGCUGCUAUAAUGACAUACUACAGACUUAGUGGCUUAUUAACAACAACCAUUUAUUUCUUGCAGUUCUGGAAGCUGGGCAGUUCAAAGUCAAGGUGCCGGCAGAUCCAGUGUCUGGUGAGGGCCAGUGGUCUCCCGGUCUCUGAUGGUGCCUUCUUGCUGCAUCCUCACCGGGAGGAAAGGCUGAGAUGUAGCAUCAGUUGGUAAACCUCCAAGAACAAAGAUCACAGAGAUGUCUAUGGUUGAAAAUGGAUCAAAGAGAAUUCACAAUGUCCAGAAAGAGAGGAGUGAGGCAACAAGGUGAUCAUUACCAAGUUCCUCACCUCCGCGAACCCAGGAACCAUUGUGUCCAGAAUUGGUUCCUUCCGGUGGGUUCUUGGUCUUGCUGACUUCAAGAAUGAAGCCUCAGACCCUCGCGGUGAGUUGUUACAGUUCUUAAAGAUGGUGUGUCUGGAGUUUGUUCCUUCAGAUGUGUCCAGAGUUUCUUCCUUCUGGUGGGUUCGUGGUCUUGCCGACUUUAGGAGUGAAGCCGCAGACCUUCACAGUGAGUGUCACAGCUUUUUUUUUUU